UACGGAGGGUGCAAGCGUUAUCCGGAUUCACUGGGUUUAAAGGGUGCGUAGGCGGGUAGGUAAGUCAGUGGUGAAAUCUCAGAGCUUAACUCUGAAACUGCCAUUGAUACUAUCUAUCUUGAAUGUUCUGGAGGUGAGCGGAAUAUGUCAUGUAGCGGUGAAAUGCUUAGAUAUGACAUAGAACACCAAUUGCGUAGGCAGCUCACUACGGAAAUAUUGACGCUGAGGCACGAAAGCGUGAGGAUCAAACAGG
rnacentral:rRNA from 1 species